CACGCCGUAAACGAUGAUCACUCGCUGUUUGCGAUAUACAGUAAGCGGCUAAGCGAAAGCGUUAAGUGAUCCACCUGGGGAGUACGAUCGCAAGGUUGAAACUCAAAGGAAUUGACGGGGGCCCGCACAAGCGGAGGAACAUGUGGUUUAAUUCGAUGAUACGCGAGGAACCUUACCUGGGCUUAAAUGGGGGACGACAGCUGCUGAAAGGUGGUUUUCUUCGGACGUUCUUCAAGGUGC
rnacentral:rRNA from 2 species